CCUACGGGUGGCAGCAGUGAGGAAUAUUGGUCAAUGGCCGUAAGGCUGAACCAGCCAAGUAGCGUGAGGGAAGACUGCCCUAUGGGUUGUAAACCUCUUUUAUGCGGGGAUAAAGGUGUCCACGUGUGGAUGUUUGCAGGUACCGCAUGAAUAAGGACCGGCUAAUUCCGUGCCAGCAGCCGCGGUAAUACGGAAGGUCCGGGCGUUAUCCGGAUUUAUUUGGGUUAAAGGGAGCGUAGGCCGGUCGUUAAGCGUGCCGUGAAAUGUUGUGGCUCAACCCUGAGAGGGCGGCGCGAACUGGCGACCUUGCGUGCGCGGCCGGCAGGCGGAAUUCGUGUUGUAGCGG
rnacentral:rRNA from 1 species